ACCAGUUUGGUGAAGCAUUCAGAAAUGCCAAGAAAGCUCCUUUAUUUUCUUCACAAUUGAAAUCCAAAAAAAAAAAAAUGAGGACAAACUGGUAAAAAAACCAAAUUCAUCAUCCCAAAGGGUAGUUUGAUAACAGUUCUCACUCUUUCACAACUGAUACAACACGUUCCCACUCUUUCACAACUGCCCGUGCCAGUUUGCAUCAAACUCCGCUCCUCCCUCUUAACCUUUGGCCAACCAUAAAGAGGUGAUGAGGCUUUUCAACCCAUUUACAAAGGAUCUCAAUGCCAUUGGGUGUUUGAGUGCAAUCUCAUUAUUCAUUUAGCCUAUAUAAGAGCUGUAUUUACACCGGCUCAUUGUUCACAACCGUUUGGUAAUUGUUCCAUUGGUAAUUCUGAUGUGAAUCUUUCAUAUUCAUAACAUGUUAAUAGCACAUGGCAUGGCCGUUGACAUCUAUUGUAGUUUUUUAUUUAUUUUAGUUUUACAGAGGUGCAGCCGCUGAGUCCCGACCACGAAGCGGACAAAGUUGUAACGACAGUAUAAAAAGAUUUACGAAGAAGGAUUUGACUUUGAAAAAUCACUUCAAGCUGUGGAAAAUUUAUCUUCCAUUGAGAGGUUUUCAAAAUGUUGGAUGACAACAGUUGAAUAAUUUAUUCUCAAAUGGUAGUUUAUUGACUUACUUACUAAUUAGUAUGGUACAUUGACAACAUUAGUUAGUUAGAUUCAGUGAAUUUUAUAUCAAAAACGGAGUGUGCAUGAUUCAUUUGUUCACAUCACCCAUGCUAAAAGCUCUAUUUCACAGUAGGCUAUGUGCGACGUGAAGAAGAGCUUGCAAUAUCUUUUUAGUUCUCAAUUAGGUCAUCGAGUAAAGCCUCCAAAUCCAUUUCUUAAUUCAUAUCUAUUUUCUUAUGGGUUGUGCCGUACA